UUCUUAUUAGGAGUGAUCGAUUCCAUGUUGACCUACUCACAACCUCCAUAUACACUCCAUCAUAUCCAGAACAUCCUGUACAUGUCUUAAUGCCAUACUUGGGUAUGAACCAAAAUAUGGGUUCAUGUGCAUAAGAUUCUAUGGUGGUUUCAGGUCUAAGGAUCACUUGCACAACUUCCACUUAGAGAACCAUCUUUCAUAUACAAGUAAGGCUUCCAUAAGAUAUUUUCUUUCAUUGAGUUAAUUCAGUGGACUUAUUUUUCAAAUGAGCACCCACAUCUUUGUAUUAGUAUCCCACAUAAGUAACUAGUAAGAUGUGCCACCCUCUCUAUCGAGCAUACAUAGGAUGUGCCGGUCUAUCUGGAACAUUGAUCUCCGACUCAAUGCUCCUACAACCAGAAAUAUUUAAGAUUAGAAUUUUAGAGUUUUAGGUCUCACUAGCAUGACCCAUUCAUGUCUCCUAAAAUCAUUAUCCUAAUCUUUGGGGUUCAUCAUAAUCUUAGAUAUAGUAAGAUGUAGCUAAUAUGAUGAAUCAAUACCUCAAAUAAUAAAUAUCAUUUCAUGAGUUAGAAAAUUAUAAAGAAAAGUUUCAUCGUAACACACUUGCGAUUGGCUUAAAGGGCACUCUUCUUUCAAUCUCCCACUUGCACUAAAGCCAAUCGCCUUUAUAUCUCAUACAGUCAAGAUGGCGAUUAUAUAGCUACUUUGGUAUGGCCUUAGUGAAUAGAUCUGUUAUAUUGUUCUUUCUGUCUACUCAUUCAAGGACAAUAUUUUGUCUCUAACGAGAUGGAAGCGUCUGAGUAUGUGCUUAGAUC
rnacentral:lncRNA from 1 species